UCCCUGGUGGCUCAGAUGAUAAAGCUUUUGCCUACAAUGCAGGAGACCCAGGUUUGAUCCCUGGCUCGGGAA
rnacentral:tRNA from 1 species